UCGGGCCAUCGCGUCGAUGAAGCGCGCCAGCCCCGGGUCGUCCCCGAGC
rnacentral:sRNA from 1 species